CGGGGUCGCUUCUGAAGUUUUUAAAUGUAAAGAAUAGGGACAAGAUAUUCACCGAUAAAGACAAGGUAAAAAGUGGGAAGUUUCCCCGAUGGUAUUAAGAAAACCGGUUGCAUACUAGUAUAUGUUCCACAAAAACUAAAUGCUCUGAAUUUCAGAUUGCAUACUCAUAACACCUGUUGAUCUGCUAUUGAGAUCUUUCCUACAUUUAAUUUCCUCACAACACAUGGCUGCGGAACUGGUGGGUGGAGCUUUCCUCUCGGCCUCACUCAAGGUGCUGUUUGAUAGGUUGGCUUCUCAGGAGGUCGUUGACUUCAUCAAGGGAAAGAAACUGAAUGAGGGGCUGCUCAAAAAGUUAAAGAUUAUGUUGUUGUCUGCUAAUUCGGUGAUCAAUGAUGCUGAGGAGAAGCAAAUCAGAGAUCCAGCUGUCAAGCAAUGGCUUUAUGAGCUCAGAGAAUCUUCCUAUGAUGCAGAGGACCUGAUCUAUCAAAUCAAAACCGAAGCUCUGCGAUGCAAGAUGGAAGGUGAAAAUAGAAGCAGCACAAGUCAGGUACGGAAUCUCUUCUCUACUUGGUUCACUAGUUUUAACAAAAUAGUGGAACCCAAACUUGUGGAGAUUCUUGAUAGACUAGAAUAUAUUGUUAAACAAAAAGAUGUCCUGGGUUUGAAAGAAGUUGUUGAGAGAAGAUCUUCACCCCGAUUACCACCAACCUUGGUAGAAGACUCUGAUGUUUAUGGAAGGGAAGGUAGCAAAGAGGCCAUUGUUGAAUUGUUGGUAUCAGAUGAUUUAGGUGGAAGUAAGAUAUCUGUGAUUCCCAUAGUCGGCAUGGGUGGGAUUGGCAAGACCACCCUUGCUCAACUUGUUUACAAUGAUCCUAGAGUGAAUAACUAUAAUCUCAAGGCAUGGAUUACUGUAUCAGAUGACUUUGAUGUAUCUACACUAACAAAAUCAAUUCUUGAGACAGUAACUUCCCAGACAUGCAAUGUCAAAGAUCCAUUUCAACUUCAAUCUAGAUUGAAGGAAGCAUUGGUGGGGAAAAAGUUUCUUUUGGUCCUAGAUGAUGUUUGGAAUGAGAAUUAUGAUCUUUGGAGUGCCCUAAAGAGCCCUUUUGAUUCUGGAGCUUGUGGAAGUAAAAUCAUUGUGACAACGAGAAAUGGAAAUAUCGCAUCAAUGAUGGGUACUGUUCCAAAUCAUAACUUAGAGGUAAUAUCCGAGGAGGAUUCUUGGUCAUUAUUUGCAAAACAUGCCUUUAGCAAUACAGAGUCAGGUGUGCGUCCAGAUUUAGAAGCAAUCGGUAGAAAAAUCAUUAAAAAGUGCAAAGGUCUGCCUUUAGCUUUAAAAUCACUUGGUGGUCUCUUGCGCAGUGAAUCAAGUGCAGAGGAAUGGGAAAAUGUGUUAAACAAUGAGAUAUGGGAGUUGGCUGAAAAGGAGAGUAAUAUUCUUCCUGCUUUAUGGUUGAGCUACUAUUAUCUUCCUUUUCAUCUAAAACGGUGUUUUGCUUAUUCUUCAAUAUACCCAAAAGAUUGGAUCUUUACAAAAGAAGAAUUGAUUUUACUAUGGAUAGCAGAAGAUCUGUUGCAACCCCAUGGAAGGAAGAGUUUAGAGGAUGUAGGAGAUGAGUAUUUUAAUGAUUUAAUAUCAAGAUCUUUAUUUCAUCGUGAGAAGCACUGGCGACUGUCCACAACGUUUACUAUGCAUGAUCUUGUGAACGAUUUAGCAAAAUUUGUUUCAGGAGAAUUUUCGUUGAGGCUGGAUGACAGCUACCCGCUUACAUUAGUAAGAAAGACUCGCCAUAUAUCGUAUGUGAGAAGAAAGAGAUAUGAAAUUACGAAAUUCGAGGAUUUAUUUGAAAAUAAAUGUCUGAGGACUUUUUUAACAUUAGAAUAUCUGCCACGUCAAUAUAAUCUCAGUAUCAAAACGAAACAGAGUCCUGUCAACUGUGAACAACUAGCGUCAACAAUGCCCUUCUUAAGAGUGCUCUCUGUACCUGGAUAUUAUACCACAGGGUUGGUCGAUUCAAUCAGCAAAUUUAAACUUCUAACCUAUGUGGAUUUAUCUUACACUGAGCUUGAAGAGCUACCUGAGACAAUAUGUACUUUAUACAAUUUGCAGAUAUUGAUGUUGGCAAGUUGUAGAGAACUGACUCAAUUGAGUGAUUCAAUUGCUAAUCUGAAGCAGUUAAGGCACUUGCAUUUAUCUUUUACUCACAUUGAAAAGAUACCUGAUGCACUGUGUGGCUUGUCCAAUUUGCAUACACUAUUGUUGAAUGGAUGCUAUUGUCUUAAGAGAUUACCAAGCAACAUAGGCAGUCUAACAAACUUGCGUCAUCUUGAUAUUGAAGAUUGCUGGGAUUUGGAAGGGAUGCCACCGCAAAUAUGUGAGAUGAAAGAUUUGCGAACAUUAACAGGUUUUACUGUCGGCAAACACGAUGAUGGGUGGUGCAAUAUUGGAAAAUUAGGACAGUUUCAAAAUAUAAGCGGAAAAUUUUGUAUAGCAAGGAUUGGAAAUGUAGUUGAUGUGGGAGAUGUUUUGAACGUCAAUUUGAAGGAGAAGAAGUACAUAACUGAAUUGAGUUUGGACGAGGGGUGGAACAGUCAAACGGACGAUUCACAAAAAUCAAGACAAAUGCUUGAAGGGCUCCAACCUCACAGAGAAAUUGAGAGAUUACAUAUUAAAAAUUACGGAGGCACAAGAUUUCCAGAUUGGCUGGGAGAUGGUUCCUUUCCUCAUCUAGUAGAGCUGAAUCUUCGGAAUUGUAGAAAUUGCUACGAGGUACCGACGCUUGGGCAUCUACGCUCUCUUAAAUACCUUGUAAUCGAUGGAUUUGAUUUAGUGGAGAGAAUAGGUGAAGAAUUCUACUUAAACGGUUCUACUAGUGUGGGAAAGCCAUUUAGAUGUUUAGAAUCUCUUACCUUUAUCGAUAUGCCGGAGUGGAAGGAGUGGUUAUUUGUUACGGCUGAUUAUAGUGAAGGUGGAGUUUUUCCUCGUCUUAAGUUGCUUUGUUUCUUCAAUUGCCCGAAGUUAAAAGCGGGAUGCUUACCUGAUUAUCUUCCUUCUUUGGAAAUUCUUGAGAUCUGUGGAAGUGAACAACUAGUGGCUUCACUUCCAAGGACUCAACAGUUGGACACUGCAUUUCCACGGCUUCAGCAUUUUACGAUAGGUGACUCUUCGAUGCAGUCCGUUCCAGAAAUGCCCUCAAAUUUAAAAGAAUUGACAUGGGAUGGUUGCUACACACUGUUUGCAGGACAAGGACUCACCUCUCUCACAAAAUUGCUUAUCUCUGAAAGUAGAGAUAUGGUGGAUUCCUUUCCGGAGGAGGGUCUAUUUCCUACCUCUUUGACAACUCUUCAAUUAUUCCGACUUCCAAAUCUGAAAUCGUUAAAUGGCAAUGCCUUUCGACAACUCACAUCCCUUGAAACCCUGGAUAUUAAGGAAUGCCAUCAGCUUCAGUGUUUACCAGAAGGUCUACCCGCUUCCCUAUCUCUUUUGAGAAUCGAAGAUUGUCCAUUGUUAACUCAACGGUGCAAGAGAGAGACAGGGGAAGAUUGGCCCAAGAUUGCUCACAUCAUUCUUAUCCUUGUCGACGAUGAAGCUAUAUAAUAAGCUGCUCUGUCUCUAAUAUUUCAGUCCAAUUGCAUCCAGCGCAACAGCAUUAGGAAAGAUCAUCAGCUGUGAAUUCAUCGGAGAAAAGAGUGGGAAAAUUUAACUGGACAAGGCAACCACACCUUAACCAUAGCUCCAGCUUACCUCAAGAAGAUGUGAAAUUUCAGAGACAAUGAUAGCAUAAGCAGUGCUGGAUAUCCUACAUCAAUGCCAUCUAAGGGGCAAGAGUGAAAUCUGCAUCUACUUCUUGCUGGUAAAUAUAUAUAAUCAGCAAUGUCCAACAGUGGUGCAGCCACAGACCACACGGUCAUCACUGACAGUACCCAGAACCCUUCAUCAAAUGCGACUGUUCUUAUAAUAAUAGCACCCUUUGCCACAUUACACAACUGUGAGUUUUAGCCUGUCAGUGAAACUUGCGCAAAUUUUGUAUCUAACACUAAAAAUGGUGUAUUCAUACAAAUUUAAAUGUUCAAUCUCCCCCAUAUCCCAGAAAUUUCCACCUUCUCUCGUCGAUAACCGGCCGAUCUUUCCAUUUUAUCCACCAAAAAUCCGAGAUCUUCACCAACAAUGGACGAUUCCGUCAACUUCCAACGAUUCCGGCGACAAAUCGACGACACGCAUGCCAGAAACUUCUUCCCCCCCCCCCCCUGUCGGUGUCGGACGGGGUCGAUAACGGAAAUUGUUGCCGAUAUUUCCACCGUUUCGACGAUUUUUGCUUCCCUGGAAACAACUUCACAAUAGAUAGUUCAAACAGCAGGUUUGGAGUGCCUUCAACGAAACUUCCCAUGCAACCGAAGCCAUGGGCUCUAUCAUGACUUUGCAAUUAAUUGUGGUGGUCAUCAAUUUAUGUCUUCCAAUGGUAUUGUGUAUGAGAUGGAUAGUGCAGCUCUUGGUC